rnacentral:rRNA from 1 species
CAGCCGCCACGGUAAUACAGAGGGUGCGAGCGUUAAUCGGAUUUACUGGGCGUAAAGCGUGCGUAGGCGGCUUCUUAAGUCGGAUGUGAAAUCCCUGAGCUUAACUUAGGAAUUGCAUUCGAUACUGGGAAGCUAGAGUAUGGGAGAGGAUGGUAGAAUUCCAGGUGUAGCGGUGAAAUGCGUAGAGAUCUGGAGGAAUACCGAUGGCGAAGGCAGCCAUCUGGCCUAAUACUGACGCUGAGGUACGAAAGCAUGGGGAUCAAACAGGAUUAGAUACCCCGGUAGUCCCUGUCUCUUAUAC